UUUUUUUCUCAAAACAUACCUCUACCUCAUUAAGAAAAUAAGCUCAACAAUUUUAGACCAUGCACCACGGCGCAAAAGCGUUUUUUUCCGUCCUUAUAUUAGAAAAAGUGAAUUCUGACAUGCUCUGUAUGGGUUUGCACCCUGCGCUUUGCACUUUGCCCAUGGACCGUCAAAAUAGAGCCCCUAGUGUAAAAGGAAUUUAUUUUACUUUAAAAGGAAGUAGUUUAAUUUCAACGUAAAAGCCCUUUGAUCUUAAAUGAACAAGAUCAUUAUUUGUCAUGAAUCAGGUUAUUGCAAAGCUUAAGAAACAGAAAUAAUGUGAUUAAUAGAGGAACUACAGAUGUUGAAUUAUGAAAAUAGAUUAUGCUAAUUUUAAAAAUAUAUAAAAAGAUAAUGCUAAGGAAUGUUCCAGCACAAUUAAAGUUUUACUAUGCAAUUAAAAUAUUAGAAAGCUAUGGGUUUAAUAAAUAUAAUGUUGCUAGACCACAGUGAUCACAGGCCCAAUAGCAUGCCAGUGGUGGUAAAAUGCAACUUAAAAUAUGUUUUUAGCAAAGUAUGAACACCUGGACAAAAUAAACUUUAAUUUAGUUUUUUAUUAAAAUCUGUGUAAACAGAUGCAGUCAGUCUUUCUCUUUUACAACUCUGCAGCACUGAUAUAGCUGAUGUUAUGUUUAAUAGUGUGGUUAACUCAGCUGCUGUAAGGAGAGGAGAACACUAAUGAACCUAAUUUUAAAUGUUGGUAUUGAUAACAAAUUUUGGCUAAAAUAUUUGUCAUUAUUUGCAGUAACAGCACAUACAUAAACUAGACACAAACAUUAGCUACUCUGUAAAAAACUAGUCCUGACAGUAUGUUUUUAGCUCAUUUUAUCUAACUGAACUAAGUUAAUCAUGUUCUAUCUUAAAUUCUAUAAGUUAUGCAAGCUGUUUUAGGUCAGUUUAACAUAAUAUAAGAUCAAUGUACUCAUGAUUAAUUUGAUUCAAUUAAAAAAAUUAGGCAACCAGCAUUUUUUUACAAUCUAGUAAAGUUUUUAUGUAGCCUAUUUCUAAGUUUAAAAUAUGUAAAGUUGCAAUUUACUAGUUUAUUUUCUUUAGAUGGGCAUUAUGUUGUUUAUUAAUGUAUUAAAUAAAAUAUUUCAAGUAUUAAAUUAAUGCUUAUGUGCCUGACAAACUUAACAAACAAAUUAGAAUAUUACAUUGGAAUAUAAUACACUGAACAUUGUAUUUACAGAAUUUUUACAAAUUACAAUGUGUGACCCAGUGUGUGAAAACCAGGCCAGAUCUAAUUCUAAGAUAAAGUUUGAUUGAAGCCAUUCAUUUCAGUUGUUGACAUUGUUUUACUCACUUAAUAUAAAAUACAUAUAUUAUAAUUAUUUUCACAGACUGUUCUUUAUUUCAUGUUAAAAACAGUAAAUUCCAAAAAAAAUAAAUAAAUAAAAUAAGACUCCAGCUAGAUUUUCACAGACUAGGUCACAUUUUUAACAUAUUAAGCAAUUAACCUAAAUAUUGUUGAUAAUGAUUACACUGUCAUUACCAUGUCUGCAUCGGGAGAUACUUGGGGUAUGAAGAACUGUCUGCUUUGAUUUUUGCAAGUUCUGUCAUUUCGGGAAUGCUGCUCUCCAGAGGUGACACAUCGUGCAGUUAGCUUAAUAACAAUUUCUAACACUCUGCAGCCAGGUAUUUGUUUCCUCUCACUCUGCAGUAUUUAUUCAGUCGCUUGCGUUUAAACUCUGAAACUUUUAAGAUGCGGAGGGUUACCUGGAGAAGCAUCUGUCAUUACUCUCUGUCAAGACUUGACAGUCUCUGCUGAAAAGACCCGCCCUCUUCACUGGACAAAGACCAAUCAAACUAACGAUGACAUCAAGUAUUACCCUAUGAAAAGUAGAACAUGAGGCAUCUACAUAAAAUGUGUGUGGGAUAAUUUGCAUGAAAAGCUACUUUAAAAAAAAAGAUAAAAAUACGAGACAAAACAUGUCCCAUAUUGAAUCAAAACGGGAUGCACAAUUUCAUUCUUAAAUACGGGACAAUUCCGUAUUUUAAGGGACGGGUGGCAACCCUACCGAGCGUGUAUAGGUGUGUUUGCAUGCAGCAAGUUUAUAUGUAUGUGCAUGUGUUAAUUUGGGUGUUUAUAUGAGGAUCAAGUUUAUAUGUAUGUGCCUGUGCAUGUGGGUGUAUGCAUGCGUCAAGUUUAUAUCUAUAUACACAAGUUUUAUCUGUGUUGUUUUGAACAUCCAGUAGUAAAGGUGUAUAUGCGAGUUAUUUAUCGGUGUAUAUGCAUGUGUUUCCUGUAUGUGUUGAUAAGCUACGUUUGAUUUAAAUCCUACACGGCACCUUAUAGAUUCACUGAAUGUAUACUGUGAUGUUUGUAUCUUCAUAAGUGUGCAUUUUCAGCUGCUUCAGGAUCAAUUAUUCUGUGGAAGGAGGCAGUCCUCCAAAUAAACCGGUUUUGUCAUCACCUGUUGUUCACCAUAGCAUACCUUACAUAAAGAUGGCCAAUGCUAUGAGAAGAUAGCCAACGCUUUGAAACUGUGCUGCAGCACAGUGGCCAAGAACUUCAACCGCUUUAAGAGGACAGAGGUUCUUCUCAGAACAGGCCUCACCAUGGUCAGCCAAAGAAGCUGAGUGCACGUUCUGAGCUUCACAUCCAAAGAUUGUCUUUGGAAAAACAGACGGAUGAGUGCUUCCAGCAUUGAUGCAGAGAUUGAAAAUAUGAGAGGUGAACCUGUCAGUGCUCACAUCGUAUGCCGCACACUGCAUCAAAUUAGUUUGCAUGGUUGUAGUCCAAGAAGGAAGCCUCUUCUAAAGACGAUGCAAGAAGCUUGCAAACAAUUUGCUGCAGAUAUGCAAACUAAGGACCAGUAUUACUGGAACCAUGUCCUGUGGUCUAAGACCAAGAUAAACCCAUUUGGUUCAUAUGGUGUCAAGUGUGUGGCAGCAACCAGGUGGGGAGAACAAAGACAAGUGUGUCUUGCCUACCAAUAAACAUGGUGGUGGGAGUGUCAUGUUCUGGGGCUGCAUGAGUGCUGCUGGCAUUGGGGAGCAACAUUUCAUUGAGGGAAACGUGAAUUCUAACAUGUACUUUGACAUACUGAAGCAGUUCUCAGGAACUGGACUGCAGAGCAGUGUUCCAAUAUGAUAAUGACCCCAAACACACCUCCAGGAUGACCACUGGCUUGCUAAAGAGGCUGAGGGUAAAGAUGAUGGACUGGCCAAGCAUGUCUCCAAACAUAAACCCCAUAGAACACCUCUGGGGCAUCCUGAAAAGGAAGGUGGAGGAGCACAAGGUGUCAAACGUCCACCACUUCCAUGAUGUUGUGAUGGAGGAGUGGAAGAGGAUUUCAGUGGCAACCUGUGAAGCUCUGGUCAACUCCAUGCCCAAGAGAAUUAAAACCAUGCUGGAAAAUGAUGAUGGCCACACAAAAUAUUGACAUUUCACAUUUUCCCUUAGGGGUGUACUCUCUUUUGUUGCCAGGGGUUCAGCUAUUAUUGGCUGUAUUUGUAGUUAUUUUGAGCGGACAAUAAAUUUACUCUGCUAUACACACUUUA